GGCAGUUCUUGGGUGACGCACCCCAGAAUUGAGCUCCCUCCUCUCAGGUUCUGGGUGCGUCACCCGAGAACCACA
rfam:Myotis brandtii contig303314, whole genome shotgun sequence.